GGUUGAUUAGUGUAGUGGUUAUCACGUUUCCUUUACAGUUUCUUAGAAACUCGGAAAAGGUCGCAGGUUCGAUCCCUGCAUCAAUCA